CCCGAACCAAGAUACGCGCUCCUCUUUCUCCGCCAAAAGAUCAAGAGAUUACGACGGGGCUGCAGUUACGGCUGAGAAUCGAGCAGGUGUUUAACUCUUUUCUUGGAAACGUGGGAAGAUCUAUACUUUCGGAGUGCAUUAACAAACAAAUUUAUAUUCGGCAAUAAAUGAAAUAAUCCAGCUGAAGUAGGAAAAGCCUUUCAGAGUCAUAUCUAACCUUUCUGGGACUGAGCUCAUUGAUAGCAAAUAACUAGAAUCGACGCAGUAUCAGGCGAAAUCUUCAAUCAAGGCUAAAUUGGACAGCAUGCCAGUUUGGUGCUUUUCUACCCCGUUUUUUUUAUUUGAUUCAGAUUCCCCAUGCUCUGAUGCCAAGUUCACACAACAUGUUUCAUUGUUGACAAGUCAUUUUCCUGAUUUGUCAAGCCAUGCGUAGCAGGGGCCCAAUCAGGGAAGCAAGGACGAUGCAAAUGUGUUGUUUGUAUUUACAACCCAGCAGAGGACAUGGUAUCGUUUCCUAACUGUGCAGCCACGGAACUGCUCCAAGCCAGAACCGGAGUUUUAUCAUUCAUUGUAGAAAGGAAAUUGGCUGGAGGAAGGUUGGCUUUGAGCAGAAACUUUGGACAAAGAAACGCUUGCAAUUUUGAGUCAGCGACUAUGUUCACACAUUGCUCCGAUUAUGGUUUGUUUGUCUUUUAAACAACAAAUAGGAUUCCCCCCCCCCAAGAAUGGCUGCUUGUUCUAUCCUAAGCAAACCUAGCUGUGUACACAGUGGGAGCUGCAAAGAUAGGACAAUGUCUUCCACUCCCUUCUUUCCACAGAUGGAACAGAGGAAGGCACGACCUAUUCCUAGAUGGCUACUGUGAGCAGACACAACAGAUGUCCAUUAGAUGCUACCAGGAUGUCAUGGAUGUUAUGCGGGCAACUUCCCCAAUCACAAUGCAUGCCAGAAAACUCAGGCUCAGCAAUGGAAUAUCAAUGAAGCAAAAAGCAAGAUAGUUUUUCUGGGAUUUCUAUGGCCCUAAAAGGCUCUCUUGCAAAUGCAGAUGAUUG